rnacentral:rRNA from 1 species
UACGUAGGGCGCAAGCGUUAUCCGGAAUUAUUGGGCGUAAAGAGCUCGUAGGCGGUUUGUCGCGUCUGCCGUGAAAGUCCGGGGCUCAACUCCGGAUCUGCGGUGGGGUACGGGGCAGACUAGAGUGAUGUAGGGGGAGACUGGAAUUCCUGGUGUAGCGGUGAAAUGCGCAGAUAUCAGGAGGAACACCGAUGGCGAAGGCAGAUCUCUGG